UACAGAGGUCUCAAGCGUUGUUCGGAUUCAUUGGGCGUAAAGGGUGCGUAGGCGGCGUGGUAAGUCGGAUGUGAAAUCUCGGAGCUUAACUCCGAAACUGCAUUCGAUACUGCCGUGCUUGAGGACUUGGAGAGGAGACUGGAAUUUACGGUGUAGCGGUGAAAUGCGUAGAUAUCGUAAGGAAGACCAGUGGCGAAGGCGGGUCUCUGGACAGUUCCUGACGCUGAGGCACGAAGGCCAGGGGAGCAAACGGG
rnacentral:rRNA from 1 species